GAUGAACGCUAGCGGCAGGCCUAAUACAUGCAAGUCGAACGGCAGCAGGCUGUAGCAAUACAGUGCUGGCGAGUGGCGCACGGGUGCAUAACACGUAUGUAAUUUGCCCAUAACUGGGGAAUAGCCCUCCGAAAGGAGGAUUAAAACCCCAUAACCCAGCGAGGUGGCAUCACUUUUCUGGUAAAACUCCGGUGGUUAUGGAUAAGCAUGCGUCCGAUUAGCUAGUUGGCGGGGUAACGGCGCACCAAGGCAACGAUCGGUAGGGGGUCUGAGAGGAUGAUCCCCCACACGGGUAGUGAGACACGGACCCGACUCCUACGGGAGGCAGCAGUAAGGAAUAUUGGACAAUGGGGGCAACUCUGAUCCAGCCAUGCCGCGUGAAGGAUGAAGGCGCUACGCGUUGUAAACUUCUUUUCUCUUAGAAAAAACAUUUGGUUUCGUACCGAAUCUGAUUGUACAAGAGGAAUAAGCAUCGGCUAACUUCGUGCCAGCAGCCGCGGUAACAC
rnacentral:rRNA from 1 species